AAACUUAAAUGAAUUGACGGGGACCCGCACAAGCGGUGGAUGAUGUGGUUUAAUUCGAUGCAACGCGAAAAACCUUACCUACCCUUGACAUGUCAAGAAUCUUGCAGAGAUGUGAGAGUGCUCGAAAGAGAACUUGAACACAGGUGCUGCAUGGCCGUCGUCAGCUCGUGUCGUGAGAUGUUGGGUUAAGUCCCGCAACGAGCGCAACCCUUGUCAUUAGUUGCUACGAAAGGGCACUCUAAUGAGACUGCCGGUGACAAACCGGAGGAAGGUGGGGAUGACGUCAGGUCCUCAUGGCCCUUAUGGGUAGGGCUACACACGUCAUACAAUGGCCGGGACAGAGGGCAGCCAACCCGCGAGGGGGAGCCAAUCCCAGAAACCCGGUCGUAGUCCGGAUCGCAGUCUGCAACUCGACUGCGUGAAGUCGGAAUCGCUAGUAAUCGCGGAUCAGCUUGCCGCGGUGAAUACGUUCCCGGGUCUUGUACACACCGCCCGUCACACCAUGGGAGCGGGUUCUGCCAGAAGUAGUUAGCCUAACCGCAAGGAGGGCGAUUACCACGGCAGGGUUCGUGACUGGGGUGAAGUCGUAACAAGGUAGCCGUAUCGGAAGGUGCGGCUGGAUCACCUCCUUUG
rnacentral:rRNA from 1 species